rnacentral:lncRNA from 1 species
UUUAAUCUUUUCUCUUUAAAAAAGAAGAAGAGGAGGUGUGACCUUUUGAUAGAAGGAUGUCAAGUUAAGAAUUAAGGUAGUAGAUUAGUAGCUAGUUAAUUGUCUUUUCUUUUAUUCCAGUAGCGUUAUUUUCGUAUUUUCAUAUUCUUAGAUUUUUAUUACUAUCUGGCGUUGCUUUUGUUUUGAUUUUCUAUUAUUUUGUUGUUGUUACUGCUUCUUUGAUUUUUUUUGCUAAUGCAUUUCUUUUUUUAUGCUGUUGUGAUUCUGCAUUGCUUACUUUGAGUCGAGAGUUAUUAUUGACAAUAACGUCUCUACCUGCACAAGGUAGGAGUAAUGCUACAUAUUCACCGUCCUUCCUAAAUCUCAUUUGUAAUAUUAUACUGAAUAUGUUAUGUUGUUAUAAACUCUAGAUUGGCAAAUGGAUGUGUAAUAUCUUAAUCAGAAGGUCUGAUUCAAACAACCAAGUUAUUCUCUGAUUAAAUUCUGUGACAGGAAAUUAAUUCCAACUUAUACUUUUCUCCUUGAAAAAAAGGUUAUUUAAGAAAGUAAGAAAAUGGCCCGACAAGAUAAAGGUUCAUUGAUUAUGGGAAACAACCAUACAUUUCAAUGAGCACGAUUGGUUAACGGUCACACAAGUUUGAUACGAGAAUAAGAUGGUUUUUACAGUAAAUCCUCAUUAAUUAAUACUAUAGAUAAUGUGAUGGUGAGUGAAAACAAACUUUCUGCUAUAUCAUAUUUUGAUUUGUUUUUUUUUUAAAUUUCUCUUCCCAUUUUAAGGUUGAGCAAUGAUAAAUGAUAAAUGAUGAAAAAUGCAUGAUUUUGGAUAUAGCUUCAUAUCAUUUUGUAUGUGAGUUGUGGAGUAUUACAUAUUUAUAAACAUAAAAUAUGCUCAUUACCUGUUUAUUGUGCGUAGGAAUGAGUUUGGAUGGAAGUUGGCAAAAAUAUGAUGGUUUGAUGCAAAAAAAAAAAGAAAGAAAAAGAGUAGAGAUGCAAGACCUAGGAGCGUGCCAUAAUUGGUACAUUGCAUGAAAGUAUGCACAAAAUGGCCUAGGAGAUGGACAUAAAACAGUGCAAUAUGGAGGUUGGCACUGGACCUGGCACACGAAAGAACAAAGAAGAAAAAAAGAAAUAACUGGGAGCAUGCUAGAAGUCGCGCGUUCCACCAACUCUAGCACGUGACUCAGCGUGUCCUUUUCGAAUUAGGAGAGAUCAAGGACGCCCCACAUCAACCCUAAUUGAUAUAAAUACAUCAUAAAACGUCCUUUUGAAGGGGGAGACACUACUUUAGGGUAACAAAACACCCAAUGAGGCAAGAAUACGCGAGGAG